rnacentral:rRNA from 1 species
AUGUGUUUCUUCAACAAUUUGCUUAAACAGUUACACGCUUGUGCUUCCACACUGUAUUCUAUUUGCUUCAUUUCCAUGUUUCAUAUUGUUAUUAGGCGUUCUACUCAUAGUCAAAUCAAACAAUUCGUGCUUCAUAAAUUUCUGCAAUUGCUGCGGGAGCGGAAGAAAUGCGUUUCCUAUGGUGAGCAUGGAGCGGUAGUCGAUGGUGGGCAUGACCCGUGGAAUGAAAUUGAGCAUCUCAGUGGCUACUGUGCUAGUCAUUGUCUUGGAAGCAUUGUAGCAAAGAUGCACACUCGCCUGUUGCGGGUUAAGAGUGUUGCCCCCUCCAUGGUGGCAUCUUCGUUGUUCAUCACUGGACUCCCCUGCGGCUCAAUGACACCGACAUCCAGUGACUUGCGGGUGAAACCGACUUUGUUGAGGCUAGGUCGGACAUGA